UUGCAGACUGUGCGUUAGGGAUUGAGGCAUUGUUGAAGCUCUUUUUUGUUUUUCUCAAAAAAAGCGACUGCCGAAAGCCCGACCCUUG
rnacentral:sRNA from 1 species